UCCUCUUUGGUUCCGUCCCCAAUUCUUGCUUUCCUCCCAUCAUUUUCCUGCAAAAGGCUUCAAUACCAAGUUUCUUGCAAAAUCGUCCCCAAAGGUACCUUCUCCUCCCUUUCUGUCUCUUAAUCUCUCUUCAUCCCCAACUCUCUCCCCUUCUCUAUCCAUUUCUCUCCGGAAUUUUCUAGAGAAAAGGGAACCUUUAUGGGAAUUUUCUGGGAAUUUUCGAAAAUAAGGUAGAAUUUUUCUAUUGAGAUUGUUGAUGUUAUUGUUUUGCUUCUUCUUUUUUUUUUUCUUUUUUUUUUCGGAUCUUGGUGGUUGGAUUUUGAGAUUUAGGUUAUGAGUGGGUUUGGGUUUCAAAUUUGGGCAGAUGGAGUUGCCCAGAAGCAUGGAGACUUGCAGCUUUCAUACGACAUGCAGACAAUUUUGAGAACGGGACUAGCAAUCCCAUAGUUUUUGAGGGGUUUCACAAAGACCGGCUAAUCCCAUGGUUAGUCGGGGCGAGUGAAGGUUAGUGCCAUUAAAGUUAGUCCCAGCAGGUACCAAACACGGGACUGGACUAACCCUUAGUCCAGUCCAAUCCAGUGAGAGUUAACGAGGGCAAACAAAUGCCCCCUUAGAGUAAAACACUUGAAACUUCUCAUCCCUUGCUUCCUUAUCACGAAAUAUAGUUUAAUCCAACAAACUUUUCGUAGUAAACUAACUUCGAACGAAUGUUGAAGCGAUACAAGAAGUUUGUAGGUACAGAACAGAGCUAGAAGCUCCCCUUGGUAAUGUUGAUUUGGAAAAACAUCACCUCCUAAACUUAGUGUUUAUAAAGAUUUUCACCACGAUAAUCGGAGUACCACUCUACUCUGACAUCGAGUACUGAGCCUAUGAGAAAUCUUUUAUCCUAUAUUUGCUUUAAUGUAUUGAUCGGAUUGAGGAUGAGAAAGUGCCGAAUCAUACCUGGAAUGCCUCCAGAUCUUAAUGUCAGUCUAAUAUGUUUGAGCUACCUUGUUCGUUGAUAACAUUUUCAGAAGAUUAACCUAAAUGUUGUUGUAUAAAGUUGAGCAUGACUCUGAUUCAUUUUGUUCUUUCACCUUGCCCCAUUCUAUGUCCGAGGAUUUUAAUAGUCGCAAUGUGUCAUCAAGAAGGGGUUUCAUUCUCAAUCUGAAUUGCAUUUCCAUUAAAUGAAAGUUUGUUAGGGACUUGGUCGCUUGCGUCCAGGUCAGAAACACUUUUGGAAUCCUUUCGUCACACCUUAUGCAUUCAACCUGUGUUUUUUUUAUCGGACUACACUUAGCUGACUUGGCUAAUGCAUAUUAUCAGAGCUCCACUGGAUUAAAAUUCUUCUUGAGGAUUACCUAGUAUGGAUGCCUCAUUCAGACCUGCAUUACACACAUGGUGCCGUAAAAUGUGCUUGGCUUAGUACGCUGGUUGAGGGUAAAACCACAGACUGAAUUGACAUGGUCAUCAAAUAUGAUGAUCAUUUAACCGUUUGAAAAAAAUAAAAAAUUACGACUAUUUGCCUGACAAAAUUUACCUAUUUCUUCGGACUAACGUACCUAAGAAAUAGCAUAGGGGGAACGGGUGAGGGGUGGGGGGACGGGGGACGGGGGACGGGGGUGGGUAAGGUUGAGGAAAUAUUAGAAAUUUGUAGGAAUUAUUAUGAAUUCAAGGAAAUAUUAGAAAUUUUUAGGAAAUAUUAUAAUUUUUUCUAUAUUAUAAAUUUGUAGGAAUAAUAGAAAAUUUUAGGGAAAAUGAGAUUUUUUUUUGGUGUACUAAAUUUUUUUUUUGAAAAAUAUUAGAAACUUUUGAUAUAUUACAAAUUUGUAGGAAAUAUUAUAAAUUUUUAGGAAAAAUUGGAAUAUUAAGAAAUUGUUUGCAAUUUUUUCUAUAGAUGUCAUUAUCACUCACUGUCCUCAUAAGGCAAGGCAGCAUUAGGAUUGUUUACAAUCCACUAAAUAUUUGCCCGGACGUCGAAGUCAACAUGUGGUUGAUUGCCAAGAUGGAAGCCAUCAUCCACACGACGUGCCCCAUGAAAGCCUCUAAAUAAAAGAAACAUUUUCCUGAGGUGAAGGAGGCAAUGAUGGUAGUGCUCGCGCUAGGUGUGUGUUUGUUUUUUAAAUUUAUUAUUUUUAAUAUUUUUUUUUUAUUUUGUGUAUUUUUUUAACUAGCAUAUGUUUUUUUUUUUUUUUUCUAUUUCCGAACAACCACAAGAUCGAAGAGCCAGGUAUCUCCAAUUACAUAACCCGAUUAUGGAUUCAGCGGUUUAGGGAGUGGAUGCACGUGUGGCACUACAUGACCCUUGAAGCUCAAGAUGAAGAUUUGACUCAUCCACCCCAGGAUUUGGUGAAUAGAAUGGACGAGUGCCACUGGCUCUACAAUCAAUUUCAUAACUUAUAAUUUCUACAGAUGGACGUCUUUGAAAGUGAAGAAGUGGACAUUUACUUAGAGACAAUGUGCCACCAAGAAUAAACUCGUUUUUCAGUUUUAAUAUAAUUGUACGGAC
rnacentral:lncRNA from 1 species